UUCUACGGGGUGCAGCAGUCGCGAAAACUUUGCAAUACACGAAAGUGUGACAGGGUUAUCCCGAGUGCCGUCCGCUGAGGAUGGCUUUUACUCAGUCUAGAAAGCUGGGGGAAUAAGGAGAGGGCAAGUCUGGUGUCAGCCGCCGCGGUAAUACCAGCUCUCCGAGUGGUGUGGAUGUUUAUUGGGCCUAAAGCAUCCGUAGCUGGCUGGGCAAGUCUCCUGUUAAAUCCACCGAUCAAUCGUUGGUGUGCGGGGGAUACUGCUCGGCUAGGAGACGAGAGAGGCCGACGGUAUUUUCGGGGUAGGGGUGAAAUCCUAUAAUCCCGGGAAGACCACCAGUGGCGAAGGCUGUCGGCUAGAACGCGCCCGACGUGAAGGAAGGAAGACGAGAACGCGAACCGGAUUAGAUACCCGCGUAGUCCCGAAAGU
rnacentral:rRNA from 1 species